AGAGUUUGAUCCUGGCUCAGGAUGAACGCUAGCGGCAGGCUAAUACAUGCAAGCCGAACGGCAAGUUGAGUAGCAAUACUUGACCUAGAGUGGCGUAAGGGUGCGUAACACGUAUGCAAUCUGCCCACAACAGGAGGAUAGCUCCCCGAAAGGGGAAUUAACCCUCCAUAGAAUCACACGAGGGCAUCUGAGAGUGAUUAAACCAAAAGGGGUUGUGGAUGAGCAUGCGGUUGAUUAGCUAGUUGGCGGGGUAACGGCCCACCAAGGCGAUGAUCAAUAGGGGAACUGAGAGGUUUAUCCCCCACACUGGCACUGAGAUACGGGCCAGACUCCUACGGGAGGCAGCAGUAGGGAAUAUUGGACAAUGGGCGAGAGCCUGAUCCAGCCAUGCCGCGUGCAGGAAGAAGGCCUUCUGGGUUGUAAACUGCUUUUGCCAGGGGAUAAAAAGUCCCUGCGGGGAAAAUUGAAGGUACCUGGUGAAUAAGCCACGGCUAACUACGUGCCAGCAGCCGCGGUAAUACGUAGGUGGCAAGCGUUGUCCGGAUUUAUUGGGUUUAAAGGGUGCGUAGGCGGUUCAAUAAGUCAGUGGUGAAAUACGGCAGCUCAACUGUCGAGGUGCCAUUGAUACUGUAGAACUUGAGUACAGACGCGGUAGGCGGAAUUGACGGUGUAGCGGUGAAAUGCUUAGAUAUCGUCAAGAACACCGAUAGCGAAGGCAGCUUACUAGACUGUAACUGACGCUGAGGCACGAAAGUGUGGGGAUCAAACAGGAUUAGAUACCCUAGUAGUCC
rnacentral:rRNA from 1 species